GGGGAAGAAAAGAAAGACAGGUUAAAAAGAGAAAGAAAAGAAAGCAGACAGGUUAAAAAGGGGAAGAAAAGAAAGCAGACAGGUUAAAAAGGGGAAGAAAAGAAAGGAGACAGGUUAAAAAGGGGAAGAAAAGAAAGGAGACAGGUUAAAAAGAGAAAUAAAAGAAAGGAGACAGGUUAAAAAGAAGAAGAA